GAAAUGAAAGUACAACAGGUUUUUAGUAAUACAUGCCUGAGCAAGAAAAAAAGAAACCACUUUUCUGAUAUUUAAUAUUGUAAAUUUUAUGUUGUGAUGCAAAUUACCGUGUGGUUGUGCAAAUCAAGAACAAGACACAUUUAAAUUAUCUAAUGACAGCUUCAUAUUAAUAUUGAUUACUAGAUAAAGUAGUUUCACUAGUGCUGAAGAACACUACAAAAAUAAUGAGAUUGUCCCAUAUUCGGUCAUGAAGUUCUAAUGAAAAUAUGACAAUUUAUUUCUUGGUCAGAAAUCAAGCGUGGUAAGCAGCUAAAAGAAAACAUGCAGAAAGACUUGAGAAGUGUUAUGAAGAUGCUUGAUGGAACAAGUGCUGAGAUAUAUGAAAUCAACAUCGAUUGGUAUUACUAGAUCUGGACUGGAUCAAGUUACUACAGUUCAGUGUUCCUUGGGUUCAGUUCUGGUCACCUCCUUUUGGUGCAGGUUUUCAUCCCAGGCAUAUUCUUCUUUUACUUGCAUUAUUAAUACAGUUUCUUCACAGUUUGUGUCUUUUGUAUCAAUCCAGAAAUUAAAAAUGUGUUAUGCAUAUUUUCUUAAUCAAGAUU